rnacentral:lncRNA from 1 species
UGAAAUGGGAAUAUUCCAGAGCUGCUGGAGUUCAGAGGUGCUUGAGGAACUCCUCCUUUCCUCUGCAUGUUUAAACUUGGAAUCCAGUUGACUUCACAAACAAUGGACCCCAGGCUCAUGAACAUCCUGGCUGAAAGUGCUGGAACUUGCAUUCCUCACAGUGAAGGAUGGAAGCCCUUUGGCCUUGCCCUCCCGCCCAGCUGAUGGGAUGAGAGGCAGAUGCAGGCAGCUGUCAGGAGAGCAAAGGGAAGGGAGAUACUGGGUCCGGAAACCCUGCUGCUGCUGCGACAAGUUCUCCGGGUCCAGGCUGUGAUUUCCACAAUCUGCAUCCAAACCACAGAGUGAAGCCGAAAUUGUGUGAAUGAUCGGGAGUGUUUGCAGAGUUCAACCACAGUGUUAUCACGUUUUAUCCAAAUCUCCUAGUCCAAAAAAGAAUACCACGCCCUGUUUUUAUCUCAGUGCGGAGUGUUUCAUUUUGAUCAAAAUUGCAGUUGCGUAAUUGACAGAUGAGAGUGAGUGCUUGCAGAUGUGAAGACUGGGGUGAAAUAACACAGCAACAACACCCGCAAG